rnacentral:rRNA from 1 species
GACGAACGCUGGCGGCGUGCCUAAUACAUGCAAGUAGAACGCUGAAGGAGGAGCUUGCUUCUCUGGAUGAGUUGCGAACGGGUGAGUAACGCGUAGGUAACCUGCCUGGUAGCGGGGGAUAACUAUUGGAAACGAUAGCUAAUACCGCAUAAUAGUAGAUGUCGCAUGACAUUUGCUUAAAAGGUGCAAUUGCAUCACUACCAGAUGGACCUGCGUUGUAUUAGCUAGUUGGUGAGGUAACGGCUCACCAAGGCAACGAUACAUAGCCGACCUGAGAGGGUGAUCGGCCACACUGGGACUGAGACACGGCUCAGACUCCUACGGGAGGCAGCAGUAGGGAAUCUUCGGCAAUGGACGGAAGUCUGACCGAGCAACGCCGCGUGAGUGAAGAAGGUUUUCGGAUCGUAAAGCUCUGUUGUAAGAGAAGAACGAGUGUGAGAGUGGAAAGUUCACACUGUGACGGUAUCUUACCAGAAAGGGACGGCUAACUACGUG